rnacentral:rRNA from 1 species
GGGCUUGACAUCCCACGAACCUGCCCGAAAAGGUUGGGUGCCCGCAAGGGAGCGUGGAGACAGGUGGUGCAUGGCUGUCGUCAGCUCGUGUCGUGAGAUGUUGGGUUAAGUCCCGCAACGAGCGCAACCCUCACCCCUAGUUGCCACCGGGUUAAGCCGAGCACUCAAGGGGAACUGCCAGCGUCAAGCUGGAGGAAGGCGGGGAUAACGUCAAGUCAUCAUGCCCCUUACGCCCUGGGCUACACACGUGCUACAAUGGCCAGUACAAAGGGACGCGAGACUGCGAAGUGGAGCUAAUCCCAAAAAGCUGGUCUAAGUUCAGAUUGCAGUCUGCAACUCGACUGCAUGAAGGAGGAAUCGCUAGUAAUCGCGCAUCAGCCCGGCGCGGUGAAUACGUUCCCGGGCCUUGUACACACCGCCCGUCACACCACGAAAGCUGUCUGUACUCGAAGUCGCUGAG